ensembl:lncRNA
GUGUGUUCGUCGAGUGUGUCUGUCGAGUGUGUUCGUCGAGUGUGUUCGUGUGUACGAACGCCCCAGACCCCUGCGGAGUCUCACGAACCUGCCUGGCCGUUUGUGCAGGAGCGCUCGUGAGGAGGACCCCGCCGACGCGCGCCGCACCAGCCCGAGGGUCGAGUGGGACUCCGCCCCUUCCCUCGGUUCAGCGCAAGGCGCCGUGGUUUUGUUCUUUGGAUUUUUGACCUUUUUUCCCUGACGUACUUUUGUUUUUGUAAAUAAACUGUUUUCCCCUUGUCACCCCGCCAUCCGUCAUUUUUCCCAAGCAAGACUCCGGCGUGACACAGACAAUGAACUGCAAUUUUUUCAGGUGUUUUCAUGGGGUGAACCUAGUGGGUAACACACCAGAAGACCCAGGUUCAAAUCUCACUUAAUCCCAUGUGUCUCUGAGCAUGAUACUUAACCCUAAAUUGCUUUGGGUUGACUGUCCCUGUUAUUACUAAUGUAAGCUGCUCUGGAUAAGGGUGACUGAUAAAUACUUUAAAUGUAAAUGUAAGUGUCAGUACAGAAUCUUAGUAUCCUUCUAACAUUGCUGUUUUACCGAGUUUGUUCUUCUAGUUGGAGAGGCUAUGGAUUCUACUAAAAUGCAUUGUGCAAUGUCCAGCGUAGCAGUAACAGAUUGCAGGGUAGUGAUUAAAUAAGCAACAACAGUGAACAUUUAGAUAGUUGGGGUGUGAGGUGUGGUGACUUGUCCUGGUGUUGUUUUCAAGGUUACCCCUUUAAAAAAAAAAUCGGCUAAUUUGUCAGCGCACCAACUUACGUAAAAUAGGACACACCAUGCAACAUGUAGUGUAUAAAACCCACAGUUUGAGAAAAUGUGUGACUUAUUUUCGAGGGAAGGGUGAAUGUUCAGUGUUAAUCCUUCACUGAAUGUACUGUGGGGGAUCACUCACUGAGCCCAAUUUACCAAGUAGACCAGUUAAAUAGCAUUCCACAGGACAGGAUGCUUGAAAGAUCAUGAUUUCUAAAAAGUUUAUUUUUACAAAUGUGUUUGUUAAAUGAACACAGACACAAUACACAACACUCGGUUCAGGAAGUUGCAGGCUCCUCCUGCCAAGCACUGAAUUCAGGG